AAUGAACGCUGGCGGCAGGCUUAACACAUGCAAGUCGAACGCCCCGCAAGGGGAGUGGCGCACGGGUGAGUAACGCGUGGGAAUAUGCCCUUCGGUUCGGAAUAACACAGGGAAACUUGUGCUAAUACCGGAUACGAUCUACGGAUGAAAGAUUCAUCGCCGAAGGAGUAGCCCGCGUAGGAUUAGCUAGUUGGUGAGGUAAUGGCUCACCAAGGCGACGAUCCUUAGCUGGUCUGAGAGGAUGAUCAGCCACACGGGGACUGAGACACGGCCCAGACUCCUACGGGAGGCAGCAGUGGGGAAUAUUGGACAAUGGGCGAAAGCCUGAUCCAGCCAUGCCGCGUGAGUGAUGAAGGCCUUAGGGUUGUAAAGCUCUUUCGCCGGGGAAGAUAAUGACGGUACCCGGAAAAGAAGCCUCGGCUAACUCCGUGCCAGCCGCCGCGGUAAAAC
rnacentral:rRNA from 1 species